UGGAGAGUUUGAUCCCUGGCUCAGAUUGAACGCUGGCGGCAGGCUUAACACAUGCAAGUCGAACGGUAGCAGGAGAAAGCUUGCUUUCUUGCUGACGAGUGGCGGACGGGUGAGUAAUGCUUGGGAAUCUGGCUUAUGGAGGGGGAUAACUACGGGAAACUGUAGCUAAUACCGCGUAAUAUCGAAAGAUUAAAGUGUGGGACCUUCGGGCCACAUGCCAUAAGAUGAGCCCAAGUGGGAUUAGGUAGUUGGUGAGGUAAAGGCUCACCAAGCCUGCGAUCUCUAGCUGGUCUGAGAGGAUGGCCAGCCACACUGGAACUGAGACACGGUCCAGACUCCUACGGGAGGCAGCAGUGGGGAAUAUUGCGCAAUGGGGGGAACCCUGACGCAGCCAUGCCGCGUGAAUGAAGAAGGCCUUCGGGUUGUAAAGUUCUUUCGGUAUUGAGGAAGGGAUGUGUGCUAAUAGUACACGUCAUUGACGUUAAAUACAGAAGAAGCACCGGCUAACUCCGUGCCA
rnacentral:rRNA from 1 species